rnacentral:tRNA from 1 species
UGGAGAUGUAGCUCAGUGGUAGGGCACUUGCAUAGCAUGCAUGAGGCCCUGAGUUCAAUCCCCAGUGCUAA